CCCCUAGCCUGGGAACCUCCAUAUGCCACAGAUUUGGUGACGGCGACGGGACCCAGAGAGAACUUCUGAUGGCUUUGGGGACAAUUGGAAACACAGAUGAUGGAGAGCCAGGAUACAGAGGCUGCCGUCUUGGUGAAGAGCCCUACUUCCCAUACUGAGUGAAAAGAAAGAAGUUGUGGUGUAUUCUUAGGGUUGUGAGACAAGGAAACGUGGCUCUCCCAUUGUGCUUUGGUGCGUAUUUCCCCUCUCCUUGGAUUGCCCUGUGCAGUGGCCUCAGUGGAGGGACCCAGGGUCCUGAUGGAGGACGGGUUACUGCUUUGGACGUAGAGCAGAGAGUACUGAAACCCUUGGCUGCCCCUGGGGUUGUCUACUAAGGCCUAGAGGUUUAGCUUAAUGGCUUCUUAACCUUGCUGGAAUGUAGGAAUGCACACAGGAACCAAGGAAAACAUUUCAUUGACAAUUAAAGUCCUCUUUUGGUAAUUCUUCUUUCAAUAAAGCACCCCAAAACCAGUCAUAAACGAAGCUGAAAAGGCAAUUUCCAUCUCUGUGAUGUGCUUUCAAUUUUGGUUAACAGGCUAUAAUUGCACAUUAAUUGAUGCUAAAUUUUAAUGAGGAUUGGCUGUAAAACUGCCUAUUUCACUCAGAUUAACACCAAACGAGCCUGCCAUGGUUCAUGUUAUUGUGGCAAGGAACUAACCGAAUUAAUGGAGAUCAGUUACCGUUGGCAGGGCAGAAUGGUUUUUGCCAAAGGCGAUGCUUGGUAUUUAAAUCCAACCCCAAUUGCAGUGCAAUGUCAUUUAGCUACGGCAGUGCCCAGUAGCAUUUUCAUUUGUU